rnacentral:lncRNA from 1 species
ACCACGUGUGUGUAGGCGCGAGUCAUAGCGUGUGUGGAGGAAAGGAAGGGAGCCGUGUAGUACGUGCCUCUUCAGUCAGCUGACGCAAGUGUGUACUUACACAGACGGAGAAGGGGUUCACCUGGCGAUCUAUUGAAGUGACAGCAGCUGUCCACAAGGUUUUUCUGGGUGGCAUCAUGUUCAGGUCCAUAUUUGGUCGUAAAGCAACUCCUUCAGAGCAGCCUGCAUUACUCCAGGAGAGCCAGCAGGGUGACUUUGUUGUCUUCGAAAGCCCAGCUGUUUGUGAGCCGCCUCAGGCUGGUGUGGAUCCUCUUGUGAACAUGGAAACUCAGCGGUCUCCACCACCUACAAGCAAGCCACAUGGUAUUGAUGGUGUGCCCUUUCAAUUGAAUGCUUGCCUGACCCAGUCUGGCAGCAGUGCUGGGGAUGUGGAUGCACUGCUUCGCAGGUUGCGCAGCAUGGGUGACUUUUCCUGGACCGAGUAUGACUACAGUGUUGAAAAACGCAUACAGCGAGAUUAUGCCUAAAGAUUGAUGCCGAGUGCAUAGUGCCGCCAACGACAGCGAGUCAUGCACCUUAGGCAUUCGUGAUUUACAGAACUCACUCUGUUUUCUUGAAUAUGCUACCGUGUGAUAAGCAGUGGCUUCCCAUUGAAACAGUCAGCUGAGAAUACUGCUCUUCUGCUUGCAAGCACAUUCUGUUUCGAGACGAUGUUUGGGCAAGGUUUAGAUGACACAGUUGCAUUACACAGUAGUACUGUUUUCAGCACAAUGUACUAGCUGUCUUUGGAAUCUGACAUCUAGUGUACAUCAUAGUCGUCCGUCGAUGGCACAAGGUACUAUAGAGCUUAACGUUUUAUUCACUUGUGGAACAGGACACUUUUGCAGUGGAGACUGAGUAUGGGUACCACGCGAAUCAGUUAAUGCAAAUGACUAGUAAUUGGAUCAUCUACCUAUUUUUAUGCAUAGGCACUGCAUGAUAGUGGUUUAUUUAUGUAAUAAAUGUUUUAGAAAGACUGCAUAACAAGAGCGCAUGACAAUAUGACAAAUAAUUUCAUGACAAAUGACUGCAUGGCUAUAUCCUUCAGAUGUUCGAGACAGUAAACAAUGUGGACGUAAAGAAAAACCAAAGUGCAACAGCCCUAGGUCUGCCGGUAGGCAGACCUAGGGCUGCCUGUCCGUAUGCCUGCCUGCAAACCGCAUGCAGGCAAGCAAGUAGAUUGCCGACAGCGCAAUUGGAUGCACCGGGAAAAUUCCCAAAAUCACUCUCUGGCACAACCUAAAGCUGCCUGAAAUGCAUAAAAUGCAAUUUCAUGUUAUACAUGUUUGUUAUUAAGCAAAAUGAAUCUAUGAGCGGGGAUUUCUUGUCCUACCAGCGGUAUAUGAACCACAUUAUUGUUGGGUGACACUAAUGGUCAAUCUUUGUUGACUUUCAACAUCAGAUUAAAAUUAUAAUUCCUUUUCUAUGCAACAAAAGCAUGAUCAUUGCCAACAUAGUGAUAAACGAUCUUCUCAUUUUCAGCUAAAUCAGAAAAAUGUUUCUGAGUGGUAGACAGUCUCUUUAAGGCUAAAGCCUGAACUACCUCAUCAAACAUUGAAGUUAACCCUGGCGUCCCACGUGAACAAGUAAAGGUUUACGUUCUGUAAAGACCCGAACAUGCGCAGAUUCCAUCUGGUAACACGGUAACGUAAAUAAGUAUAUAUACAAACUAAAAGCCCCUAAUUGCGGUCACGAUGAGACUGAAGUCGUUGCAGGCACAGAACGUGCCGGCGCUGCGCCAUUGUGCACGUAAAGUUGGCUUUGCCGUGUAAAAUUGAACAUUUGACGUCACUGCACCACGUGAAAGCGCUCGCAGAAUAGCGGCGUGAGCGGAGAAGGAAAAGGUAUGCGCAACUCUGCUACCUAACGGUAGCUACAUAUACAGUAACACUAUAUGUAACAUUAUAUACAUGUAAAGCCCCUAAAACCUAUGCCUAAAACUUCUUAAAGUAGCCACGUGCCUGGAUAUUAACGCGCCUCUCUUUUCUUCCUCCGACUUCUCUUAGGCCGGCGCCGCGUCGUGCCAUCUUUUCUCUGGAGGCGCGGACUUUUUGGGGCGCAGCGUAUCUGUUUUGACCUAUGCGAACUUGUCCUCCCGUGCGCGCUGUGCUGUGAAAUAGUUUUCAUCCAAGAAUGACGUCGCUGUUAGUUGCAGUGAGUGGUUGUUGCGCCUUCUGCUGCCAGAACAAGUCUAGUGAUGGCCGAAAGCUCUUUAUGAUACCGCCCGUUGAGCGCGACAAAAGGCAUGAUUACGUAGAAUCGGAAAUAAGAACUUCAAGCCGGCAUUUUCGAAUCCAAUUUGCGGAGUAAGUUGCGCGUGUCUCAUUAUGAGAAUGGUUCGAUGUUUGCUCAAUUCAAUGCCUACUCCAACGCCGUCGAUAAGUCGCAGUUAAUUGUGCAGAACGUUACGAUCUCUCACUCGGGUUUCAUUUACGCUUCUGCGAGGGCUUUUUUUUUUUGUCAACAAUACAUGCUUACAUGUUCUGCUUGUCAUUAUGCGCCGACUGGUUUGAAUUCGCGGUACUGGUUUGUGCACUUAGAAUGUACGUGGAGGACGCUCGAAAUUGUUAUUGCGGAACUUCAGAGAUUUCGCGUUGCUGUUUGAAAUAAACAAAACUGGAGUGCA